GGAAUGUCACCCAGCGAGGAGCCCUCUGAUACAUGUGGUCAGAAGACGGACCUGCUCCUCUCACGAAGAAGAAGAGGAAAGAAGAAGAAGGAUAGCAGCUCCCUGACGACAGCUCUAGCCACACAGCGUCAAGUGUCAAUCCAGAGUAAACAUCUUGGGCAGGUGUACCAAGAGCCAAAAAUCCAUUGUCAGCUCAGUGGAGGCCGUGUGGCUCUGAGCUGCUGCUCAGCUGUGGAGUCCACAGAGUCUGGAGGAGAAAUGGAGGCUGAUUCACUCUAAUCACAGUGUGCAAGGGUCUAGAGCUUCUUUACAACUGAUAAGACGACUGCAUUCCUGGUGAGCCUGUGGGCUGGCCCUGUGGGUGACCCCACUUGACAAUGUCCAGUCACGAGAGGCUCCAGUGCCCGUACAGCACGCAAUAGAGAGCUCUGUGCAGCUCCACUCAUCUUUCUCCCCAUCUCCCUCCACCAAACACUCACCCACACUGAAGAGUGCAGAGAUAAGGAGCAGAAGGCAGGGUGUUCUUUGACUGUACUCCACACUGGGCCCCUGAUAACUGCAUUUUUGGAG